AAUAAAACAUAUGCAGGGAUAUAAAAAGACCAGGUCUAAAUAAUUGAGAUUAAAGAGUCAACUUGAUAUACAGUAAUAGCACAGCAAUAUGAAUGUGAAGAUCUUCUCUCUAAAUUAAUUAAAGGUGAAAAAGUUGAGAUAGUCUCUAUUAGAUGGCGGUGAAUGGCGUGAUACAGACAGUGUUGCAGCUAUUAGAUGAAGAUGCAAAGCUGAUCGGUCGUAGAGAAAGAGGUUCAUGAGUUGCUCCGAAGCCUAGAGUACUUGCUACAUGAAUUUUCCGGGAAGCAUUUGGAUGACGAGAUUCGAAUUACAUUGAAUAAAAUUGAGCGCGUCGUUGAUAAAUUCCUCAGGGACGCGAAGCUACACCAAGAGAAAAAUCCUUCGGAAUACUGCUUCUGUUAUGAUCGCAAGAUUAAUUUAAAAAAUCUUGCAGAAGAGUUGAAAAGCUUCGCUAACGAGGUGGACCGAAUUCCGGGCAAAUAUCGACAAGAUGAAACCGCAAAGUCUGCUAUGACUGAUUAUUAUACGUGGCAGUUACGUCUGCUUAAAAAAGCUGCCCUGGCGCCGCAGCAUCUUACUUCGGAUGAUAACGAAGUUGGUGUUAUUAAGGAGGAAGCGCAAAAAAUGAUCAUGCCACCCAUUGAAGGACCAGAGGAUCGAGAGAACGAAGUUGUUGGUGUUGUUAAGAAGGAAGCACAAAAAGUGAUCUUGCCACCCAUUGAAGGACCAGAGGAUCAAGAUAACGAAGUUGUUGGUGUUAUUAAGGAGGAAGCACAAAAAGUGAUCAUGCGACUCAUUGAAGGACCAGAGGAUCUAAAUAUUGUUCCCAUUGUGGGUAUGAUUGGACUUGGCAAAACCACACUUGCACGAAAAAUCUAUUAUGAUCCUCAAAUUUCAGGCGAGUUUCCGAACAAGAUUUGGAUCAAUGUCGGCCAGUCAUACGACAAAAAGAAGAUAUUUCUUAAUAUUCUCGGAGGGCUCAUGAAACGAAGCAUCGAAGAAUAUCGAUAUAAGGAAGAUGUUUGGGAGACAGCAGUUGUAAAUUCUGUCAAGGAAGUUUUUCCAGAAAACAAAAAAGGCCACCGAAUCAUGAUGACCACUCGCCUAGAAUACGUGGCUACUAAUGCUAAUGAGGAUCCUCAUUAUCUGGAAUUUCUGACUCCAAAUGAAAGUUUCAAGUUGUUGGAACUGAAAGUUUUUGGCCGGAGCAGAUGUCCUGAUGACUUACUAGUAUUUGGAAAAAGCAUUGCAUCAAAAUGUAGUGGAUUGCCACUUUCGCUAGUGGUAAUUGCAAAAAAAUUAAAACAUCGUAAGGACAGAAGUACUUGGAAACUAAUUGAAAAAGAUGUGUGGCAUCCUCUUUUAAAUGAAGAUGACCCUGAAAGCUGCUUGGAAGCAGUAAAGUUGAGUUACGAUCACCUGUCCCAUGAAAUGAAGGUGUGCUUCUUGUAUUGUGGUGCUUUUCCUCACGGCUUUGAUAUCCCUGCUUGGAAAUUGAUUCGCUUGUGGAUCGCUGAGCGCUUGAUAAGGCCCGAACCGCCAUACACGCUUGAGGAGACAGCAGAGCGUUAUUUGAACAACCUUGUUGGUAGGAACUUGCUGAUGGUGAAGAAGAAGAGUUUUGAUGGCCAAAUAAAAACAUGUCACAUUCACGACUUGUUGCAUGAGUUCUGCAAAGCAGAGGCUAAUAGAAAAAGGAUUCUUCAAGAAGUAUGUCCAACACCCCACAAGGAUAUCCUUACGAGACAAGCAGUGUAUACUUCUCAAGGAUUGUGCAUUCAACCCUCUGUUCUACACGAUUUUCUCUCGGCAAAACCAGUUGCUGAGCCUGUUAGAUCUUUCUACUGUUUUUCCUCUAAACAAACACAAACCAAGUUGUCGUCUGAUGACAUCCAACUCUUCGAGAAAGCAUUUCCAUUAAUCAGGGUCUUGGACAUUGAAUGCCUGAAAUUUCGUUUCAUCAAGGAAUUUUAUCACCUAAUUUAUUUGAGGUAUCUUGCUAUUUCAGGUGACUUCAAUGACCUUCCAGUGGAAGUUGGUAGAUUUUGGAAUUUACAAACUCUUAUAGUUAAUUCGAGUGCAGAAGUAUCCAGUCUUGACAUAAAAGCAGAUAUUUGGAGCAUGUUAAAGUUGAUGCAUCUUCACACCAAUAUCCCUGCAAGAUUGCCGCCCCCUCCUACCCCCAACAGGUAAAAUUUCAAGUGCCCUACAAACUCUUUCUGUGGUUGCACCUGAAAGUUGCACGAAAGAUGUAAUUUCAAUAGCUUGUAAUCUCAAAAAAUUGAGUAUUCGAGGGAACUUGGUGGAAUUUCUUGAAAUUAAGGGGGGUGGCUGGUGCAAUUUUGAAGAGCUAAAAUGCCUAGAACAUUUGAAAUUGUUGAAUGAUGCUCUUUACAUGGAUGAAAAACUUCACCUUCCUCCAUUAUUCAUCACAUUUCUACGAACAUUGAAGAAGUUAAUUUUGUCAAACACAAAGUUUGAUUGGAGUGAGGCAAAUAGUUUGGGGGAGUUAGAAAGCCUUGAGGUCCUAAAAUUGAAAGAAAAUGCUUUCAUAGGGAAGUCCUGGAAGCCAGAGAUAGGAGGUUUUAGUGAACUCCAGGUCUUGUUGAUUAAAACGACAGACUUGGAAACUUGGGAGGCUUCAGAAUUUCAUUUCCCAAGACUUAGGCAGCUUGUUCUUAUAUCUUGUGAUAAGCUUAAGGCUGUGCCAUAUGAGCUGGCUUCUGUACCUAGCCUUCGAGAGAUGAGGCUGGUGAACGCAUGCAGUGCAGCAGUCAGAUCUGCAAAAGAAAUAGAGCGCAAGAAGCUGGAAAGCAUCAAAUUCAAGCUCGCCGUAUUCCCUCCUGAAAUUGAUUCCUAGGCGACACACUAAAAGGAAUAAUCAAGGCAUGACGUUUCUGUAAGCCGGGAUUAUGUACAAAUCGAAUGCUAUUUGACAUGGAUGCUCACCCCAUUUCAUGUUUUCUGCAGUUCAUUCAUCUUUUAUUAUUCAAGCAUUGUGAAGCUGAUAUUGAGUUUCUGUGUGGCUCUGUUGGCUUGAAACACCGUUCUUGUGUCUUACAUUUCGAGAUCCUCAUCAGGCGUAGUGUUUGCUUUCUAAGUCGUAAAAUUGUUCUUUCUGUUCAAUCCUGUUUUACUUCAUUGCUGUUUUCA